UAAAUCCAUCCACGGGUAGCCGCCGAAUGUUAUCACACACAUUCACCUUGCGCAAACAGCAUCAUCGCACCCACGGUUUUAGUUAGCUCUCGGCCUUAGCUACGCACGGUACGAUGGGAGGGUUUGAGGACGGAUUGCUCCGGGGAAAGAAGGAAGGUGAGGGGUGGGCCGCCUCGAAUUGGGGACGACGCUUGAAACGUGCAGUGGGCAUGGAAACGCCCGGCGGGGAAGCGGUUCAUCUACCCGACAGGUCUGUUCAUGAUCCCACAACUCUCUGUGAUGCGAUCCUCUUCCCUCCUUCAUUUGAGGACCGAUCUGCCUCUUCCUUUACUUGGUAGUAUUAGUUUUCUCUAAUUGGAUGAUCCAUCUAUCCUAUCAAGUUGCUACGAUAGGGUAGGGAGGGAUGGCGUCAGGAUACCACGCAUCAAAUGGGAAAAAGACCGCGGUGUCUUGGCUGAGGUUGUCGCUUUGGCGCGUGUGGCACCGAAGAUGGUACAGGAGGCUACGGCGAGAAUGGUACGGGAGGCUAAGGCGAAAAUGGAAGAAGUGGCUAAAAAUAGACGGAGUUGAGUUAUACCUACUUUACUUGGGCUUAAAAAAAAGUGAUAUUACCUAUUAGGCCGUGUGGGCAGAAUGUUUCCCGGUUUCCCACUUCCUGCGUGGAGUGCGUCCAGUCCGUGGACUAAGAAAAGAAGAAAAACGUUACUAAAAAAAGAGAAAAACAAGAACCGUAGGGAAAUUUUCUACUGCAGCUACCUUUUAAUUCGUCCAAAGACUAAUCCAGCUACAAUGUAACCUUUUUAUACCAAAGAAAUGGGAAGGAAUAAAGAAGAGUAAAGCUA